rfam:Oryza nivara chromosome 12, whole genome shotgun sequence.
AAAAAGAUAAAUCAUGGUUUCUAUGUCUAACGUUUGACUGUUCAUCUUAUUUGAAAAAAUUAUGAAAAAAAAUUAAAAAGACAAGUCACGUAUAAAAUAUUAAUCAUGUUUUAUCAUCUAACAACAAUGAAAAAUACGAAUUAUAAAAAAAUUUAUAUAAGACGAACAGUUAAAGUUGGAUAAAAAAUCCAGAGUUUUUUUUUGG